UACGGAGGGUGCAAGCGUUAUCCGGAUUCACUGGGUUUAAAGGGUGCGUAGGAGGGCAGGUAAGUCAGUGGUGAAAUCCUGGGGCUUAACCCCAGAACUGCCGUUGAUACUAUCGGUCUUGAAUGUCGUGGAGGUGAGCGGAAUAUGUCAUGUAGCGGUGAAAUGCUUAGAUAUGACAUAGAACACCAAUUGCGAAGGCAGCUUGCUACACGGAUAUUUGACUCUGAGGCACGAAAGCGUGGGGAGCAAACAGG
rnacentral:rRNA from 1 species